CACUCACACAGGGCUUAGGAAGGAGCGCAGCCCUCAUCCAACAGUUAAUUCAAAAUGGAAUAAAGAAGGAAGGCAACGGGGAAGCAGCGUGGAGGAAGGGGUGGGGGAAACCAACACAGCCUCUGCGCUCCCUCGGGGCUCCCAAGUGUUUGCACCUCCGCCUGAGGGAAAGGAUGGAGACCCAGGAACUGCUGCCUGCCUGGUGCUGCUCAACCGAUGACGGCAGGGGCUGCACUGUCCCUGCCGCGUUAAGACCAUCUUCGAGCCCCAGCCAGGAGAACAACCGCCGCCCCAGCCAAGGCCACCGCACCAAAUACAGAUUAAUUUAAGGCACACAAACCUUUUCUUGUUCGCAUCCUUCUUAAUGUUGUUGUCCUCCUGUGCCUGCGCCCAGCCAGCAGCAGCAACGCUCUCCCAGUCCCACCCUGCCUCGUCGCCGAUGCCACGUGCAGAAGGCGAGCUGGGAGGACUCACGCAUGCUCAGAAAGUUGCUUGCGUGCAUGUGUGAGUGGGAGAGAGACCCUGGCCAGCGGCAAGCCACUAGAGGGCCUGAUCAUAAACUCCACUCCACAAGGUUAGAACGGACGAAGCCAAGUGAGGAAGGCAAGCGCCCAGCGCCCUUUUUUUUGAAGCAGCAGACAAUCUGAAUGGAAUCUGUUAAAUCUUUCAGACGCACAGAUAAUCCAGGGUUGUUGUGAGGAGAAACUCAAGUAUGUAAUACACCGCUCUGGGAUCCUUGGAGGAACAGCGGGAUAUAAAUGUGUAAGUAAGUAAGUAAGUAAGUAAGUAAGUAAGUAAGUAAGUAAAUGGCUCAAGUCUAAAUGGCUCAAGCCUAAUAUCGUCCUCACUGUUAUUCCGCGGAAGCAGCCACUUAAUGAAGGGGUUUCCCCCCUACCUCCCAAGUUUACACUCAGGGGGAAAAGGGCUGGUUUUCUCCCUGUCCUUUCCAACAGGCAGCAGCCCCUGGUGGGGCCCUUUAUCUUGAUCCCUGCCUCAACCCCUGUGGCUGUGUUAAUCCUCUAGGUCUCAGGUUCACUCAG